rnacentral:rRNA from 1 species
UACAGGGGGUGCAAACGUUGCUCGGAAUCAUUGGGCGUAAAGCGCACGUAGGCGGCUCGUUAUGUCGGAUGUGAAAGCCCUUGGCUUAACCGAGGAAGUGCAUCCGAAACUGGCGAGCUAGAGUACGAAAGAGGAUCGCGGAAUUCCCGGUGUAGAGGUGAAAUUCGUAGAUAUCGGGAGGAACACCGGUGGCGAAGGCGGGUCUCUGGGCCGAUACUGACGCUGAGGAGCGAAAGCGUGGGGAGCAAACAGG